CUGCACCCAAGUCCUGGCGCCCGCGGGGGCGUGGGCGCGGCAGCCACCUCUCGGAAUUCACAGCCUGGAGUUGCUGUUGCCUCGGGCACCGCCCGAGGGCGGGGGUAGAGCCAGCUAAUGUCCCUGCUAGGUUUCGGAACGUGCUCGGGGGCUGCGGACAGAAAGAAUAUCCUGCACCGGCAAGGCUACCCUCCCUAAAUACUCCCCAAUCGGCCUGGGCGAUAGUCUCCUAAACAUUUUCUUUUCCUCAGUGAUUUAUAACUUAUUUAUCCAUCUUGGGUCACAAGAGAGAUUUCAAGUGCUAAAUAAGGGAGUUCCUGUGUCCCAGAUUGGAAGGAGCUUUGGGGCAGAAAUCAUAUUUAUUCUACCCGGAACUUAGAAUCCUCAGCACCUAAACCCAUGCCUCGAGAACACAGUGUUCCACUCUGGAAUCCAAUCAGCAAUCCUCCUUCUGUGGGCUCUGAAGAUCAAAUAAUUUGCUGGAAUGUAAAGAGGAUUAAUUUGCAAACAUUUCUGAAGUGUCUAGAGAUCUAUGGGCUCUGGUACAGGUGACAUGCCAAUAUACUGUUACUGCAGAAGCAGUUCAACAACGAAAUCUUAAUAAACGUGA
ensembl:lncRNA